GGUAGAGGGAAGAAGGUCUUCAAAAGGCAUCAGUGGGCUUCAAAGAGUUAGCCGGCUCAAAGCGUAGAGCGAUUUAGGAUCAGAUCUGUACUGGGUUAGGCUUUGGAUAGUUGGAUAGAUCGCCUUAAGGCUAUAAAGGCCAUUCAAGGGCAGGCGAGCGAAUUCUAUCUAUGCCUAAGAUGAGGAAGAAAAUAAGCAGAUUUUGGCUUGGCAUUACUAUUGUCGCACCAGUCUUCCUUCCUUUUUAGUAGCCGAAGGUGAGAAGGAAGAGCUCACUCUUCCCGUAGGCAGUUUCA
rnacentral:lncRNA from 1 species